rnacentral:misc_RNA from 1 species
AAUAGAGCAAGGUGUUCAGCUGAAGGUGCUGCUGUAAAGCUUGAUUUUGCUUCACUUCCAAAUGCCUCAAAAUAACACCAAUCAGGUAUAUCAGUAGUACCAACCAUUAGAGCAAAGUUGCAGACUGGGUUCCUAGCAGCUGCAGCAGCAAACUUUUCUGGUGCCUGGCCUAUCAAGUGUGUUGUCAAAAAUCCACCAUGAGAAAUGCCAACAGCAGCAAUUUUGGACUGAUCUGCUAGUCCCAUACCAAUGACAUGGUCUAUUGCAGCAAGUACAUCAUUAACGUCCUG